rnacentral:tRNA from 1 species
GGAGAGGUGCCCGAGUGGUCGAAGGGACGCGCUUGGAAAGCGCGGGUAUGCCGAAAGGUGUACCGCGGGUUCGAAUCCCGCCCUCUCCG